AUAAACAUUUUCGACACUGUGGUCAUGAAAUGACACUCUGAUACCCGGAGCUAGAUUAUGUAGGGUGAGCAAGGUUUGAGGAUAGCAACAAAACCUAGUAGAGAAGAAAGAAAGUUUGAAAUGAUGUAUCCAGAAGAUUAUCUGCAGGAAAUUCUAGAUCUUAAAAUGUGUAUAUGAAAGACUCUUGAUAGAGGUUUUCCCAAAUUCCACAAAAAUCCCAAGAAGGUACAUGGUAUCACCAAUAACAAGUAAUAACAACAAUAUACACUUUAAAAAAUUAUCCAUAAUUAAAAAUAAUUAAAUUGACCAUAUUACAGAAAAGAUUGACUUUUUAUUCUCUCAGAAAAAUAACUACAUGAAUCAUUGCUACAUAAAGAGGUGGUCAGAGACCAUGAGGCCACAGAUGUAGGAAAAACAAAGACUGUAAAUAUGUACUUUUUCUGAGAUUUGUGAUACUUGUAGUAUUUAUCAGCUUUUAAAAUUUAUAGUGUAUUGUAACUACUUUAUAUGAUUAGGUAUUUUUGUAUUCACAAUUUUACUUUCUUUUUCUAUAAGAAGGGCUCCCAAAAUUGCAUAAGCUUCAGGCACCACACAACCUGGACAUCCCUGGCAAAGAAAAAGAAAA
rnacentral:lncRNA from 1 species